CAAGAUGGGGAAGAUCGACAUCGACUACCAGAAGCUGCACGACGCCUUCUUCAAAUGGCAGAUCAAACCGAAGCUCACGAUACACGGGGACCUGUAUUAUGAGGGUAAAGAGUUCGAGACGCGGCUGAAGGAGAAGAAACCAGGCGAUCUGUCCGGUGAGCUGCGAGUCGCUCUGGGGAUGCCCACAGGACCUAACUCGCACAAAGUUCCCCCGCCGUGGCUGAUCGCCAUGCA